CCCUUAGAUGCUCUGGGCCGCACGCGCGCUACACUGGUCGAUGCAACGAGUUUCUUUCCUUGGCCGACAGGCCUGGGCAAUCUUUGAACAUCGAUCGUGAUCGGGAUAGAUUCUUGUAAUUUUUGAUCUUAAACGAGGAAUUCCUAGUAAACGCAAGUCAUCAGCUUGCAUUGAUUACGUCCCUGCCCUUUGUACACACCGCCCGUCGCACCUACCGAUUGAAUGGUCCGGUGAAAUCUUCGGAUCUGAGAGAUGUCUGAUUAAUUUCGGACGCCUUUUGGAAAAGUUGCUUAAACCUUACCAUUUAGAGGAAGGUGAANUCGUAACA
rnacentral:rRNA from 1 species